GUUAAUAUUGACACAGAAAAUCAUUUUUCUAUUUGGAGAGUAAGGAUGGACACCAUCAAUGCUCAAUGGCUCAGAUGCUUACUGAGAUACACCCUUGAUUCAUCCUUUCUCGACCUGGAAUUCAUAAGAGAGAGAAGGCAAUGGAGCAACAGACUGAGAAAGAGGACACAAUGGAGAUGAAAG
rnacentral:lncRNA from 1 species